GUGAGAAUGCCCUUUCCCCUUAUACCCAAACGGAGCUGGUAUCAGGAACACACGCCUGUCCACCACAACUACUUGCUACACCCCACCCCCGCGGGUCCACAGCGAUGAUUUUUUUAAGAUAUAAACAAAAUCUUGACUUAGCUAUGAUUAGGGCGGGCGGUUAAUUUCGUGCCCGCCACCGCUGUUAUACGAAAUACCCAAAACAACCGCCCCCGGCGUAAAGGGUGACUAGAGACAGUUAGACUUUUUGGAAAAAAUUGCCCCGCCGUAAAACGCCCCUGCAAAUUGGAAACCCAAAAUAAAAUGCCAUUAAACUAGAAACCACUAAACCUCGGAAAAGCUAAUAAGCUUACUGGGAUUAGAUUCCCCAAUAUGCUCAACCUAAAUCUAAUGUUGUGUAAACGGAAAUUUCCCCGCCAGAGAACUACCAAUGAAAAACUUAAAACUCCAAGGACUUGGGAGUGCUCCGUUCAACCUAGAGGAGCCUGUCUUCAAUCGAUAAUCCCUGUUCUAUCCUACCACCUCUUGCCC
rnacentral:rRNA from 1 species